rnacentral:rRNA from 1 species
UACAGAGGUCUCAAGCGUUUGUUCGGAUUCAUUGGGCGUAAAGGGUGCGUAGGCGGCGCGGUAAGUCGGGUGUGAAAUCUCGGAGCUUAACUCCGAAACUGCAUUCGAUACUGCCGUGCUUGGGGACUGGAGAGGAGACUGGAAUUUACGGUGUAGCAGUGAAAUGCGUAGAGAUCGUAAGGAAGACCAGUGGCGAAGGCGGGUCUCUGGACAGUUCCUGACGCUGAGGCACGAAGGUCAGGGGAGCAAACGGG